rnacentral:lncRNA from 1 species
AUGUUAAUGGCAUACUUUGGGCAGUGUGGGCAGUCAGUCAGCCUUAUGGAAACUUUAUUAAAGGGAAGAUGUUUUCCAGGCUUUGUUUUUUCUCAUGGACUGAACAUCAUUGGAGACCAGAAGAAAACCAGGAUGUCCCCGGACCUAAGACACAGGCUGUAUUCAUGGAAGUAUACACAUAGGAAGCCAAUAGUAUUCAAGAGAUUGCUUCAGAAAAGAGCAUAGAAGGCAAACCAAAAAGGAAAGAAAAAUAAAUAAAUAACCAACUCAGCA